UGACCCCUUCUGUCUCCCUAG
rnacentral:miRNA from 1 species